ensembl:snRNA U7 U7 small nuclear RNA
AAGUGUUACAGCUCUUUUAGAAUUUGUCUAGCAGGCUUUCCUGUUUUUUUCUGGAAAGCACCC